rnacentral:tRNA from 1 species
GCCGAAAUAGCUCUUGUUGGGAGAGCGUCAGACUGAAGAUCUGAAGGUCCCUGGUUCAAUCCCGGGUUUCGGCA